GCUGUGAAAAGAAGGCCCACACAAGAGGCUCCACAGCAAAAAGAACAAGCGAGGUAUCCUUGUAGAGGUGAGCGGCAACAGCACCCCGUAAACACGCAAAAGGAGACGUAGUCGCUUGCUUGUGCGCUCUGUGCAGCUGCUCCUCAACACACCGCUGCGACUCGCAUUUCUGCUAGAGCAGUUUUGUUUUCCACCAUGUACCAUAGAGCGCGAUAGCCUCUUCUUAUCCCCUUCAUUGUGUGCAUGGGCCCCUCGCCUCCAGGCGACACCACGCUGCCAUCCGCGUCGUCACUGUCGCUGAUGUAGAUAACUUCAGCAGUGCUUGACUUUUUUUGGUUUGUAUUUAUUCUCUUUUCCGAGUGCCUCACUUCCCUCUUCAACCUGGUCUAGUGCUGCUUGCGUGUAUGUGUGUGUGUGUGUGUGUGUGUAGCUCCUGCCCAUCAUGUCCUAUGCUCAGCGGCACCGUAAUCGUGUAGAGCUGCACUACCAUGAGGUGGCUGCGCCACCUCAUGGUUUUUAUGCUGCAUCGGCGGCAGUGCAUAACGGUCGCGCCCCGGUGCGACUGCAGGACAUGGUGAUCGGCACACAAGACCAGGAACCGCUCCCACGCGGUGGCAGUGGCCCUCGUCUCAGCAACUCCUCGCUGCAGCGCAGCAGCGGCAGUGGCAACCGCGCGUCCGAUGCGCAUGACAGCUAUACGGCAUGCUAUCCGCACCCGCAUUCGAUCAUUGGCGCGAGUGCCGCCGCAGCAUGGUGUGAAACAACACCAAGCGUCAGCGGUGCAAGGAUGCCUCGGCAGGCCUUCUAACUGCUGCAGCGCACCCCCAAGUCCGCUUCCCCGCCGCGACUCAAAGUUAGUCAAAAGCGGUUUACCUCUCCUCAUUUGUCUGUAAAGACAUCGGAGGCGGCGGCGGGACAGCCGCCAGUGCGUCUCUCUCCGCCUCCUCAAGUGCUAGAGGGGACAAUCGACAAGCGAAGCCGUCCCAGUGCGCCAGGUCACCCUGAUGUGCCGCAUGACUCGCUUGCGAUCAAGCUCGGUGGAAGUCGACCGCUCUCUGCUGAGGCUAAUCGCCGACCCGGUGAUCAGGAGGCGCAGUACGCAAAGGGCAACUCACCCUCUACCGGUGAGCUCUCUGCGGCGCGACUUUCCACCUCGCCGUUAUCUGCCUCAGCGACAUUCGCCGCGCGUCUGCGCAGCAUCAUCGAGACGCGGCAGUAAAUCGAGCUUUUGAUGCAAAGGCAGCGGCAAGAUGAAGAAGAACUGAUUCGCGCCAUUGCGAAUAUCAACGAGCAGUCGCUAGGCCGCUCGCACCCGCGGCAGUCGCCGCACCCCGGCACCACGCUCACCGGCUCGGUUCUCUCGUCUUAGCAGCAGCAGCAGCAGCAGGGCGCGGAGGAUCGUCCGUCUUAUGAGCAAGUCCUCAUCGAGCGCGCCGCGGUCUUCGCCGCGCUGCGGCAGUUCAAAGAGAAGGGCGACGUCAUUGUUCACAAGCUCUACAGCACCGUUAAGGCGCAGCAGGAGCAGGUGCUGGAGCUCGGCGCCACUGUAGAGGCCUUGAAGAAGGCGAGCAAGCGGCUCAAGGAUGCCCUCGGCAACGGAGGUGGUGCCGCUGGUGGAAGCCUCGGCAGCGGUGCAGGCGCAGCAGCGACGGCGGGGAGCUUCACACGAGUGCCUGACACCGUCGCUGAGCUGCAAGAGAAGAUCAUCACGCAGCGGCGCGUCAUUGAGCAAAUGGGCCAACUCAUGCAGAAUGCGGACCGCAUGCUGUUGGCGAUGCGCGCGCGCGUCGAGGCGGUGGAGCAGCGAGCCAGUGGAGCAUCAGUAGAGCGCCGGCGGCUUCCACCGCUUCCGCUCACCUCCGGCAGUGGGACGUCCAACGCCAGCACCCCUCGCCAGGCACCGCUCGGGGGAGACGGCGAUGUCGCCACCGUCUCGGCGCAGUAGCAGCAGCAGCAGUUUCUGUUGGGCCGCAUUGCACAGCUGCGGCAGGCACUGAAGCAGGAGCAGGCGCAGCGCCUUCACUUGGAGGAGGUCUACGGCGCCACCUCUGAGGAGACGGCACGCAAUGUAGCACUGCUGGAAGAGCGCCUGCAGCGGGUGCAGAGCACGCGAGGAGUUAUGUACGACAGCAGCGGUAGCGCCAAGAACGCCUCAGCAGUUCGAAUGGAAUUGCAUACUUUGCUGGAGGAGGACCGGCACGAAGGUGGUGUCUCGGCGGCUGAAGAAAUCCACCACAAGAAUAAGGAGCAGCAUACCAUGUUGCAGACCUCGUCCACGCUCGCUCGCACCCUCUUCACGGUCGUGAGCGUCGGGGGCGCGGCCGCAGCGGAGGAUUACAAAGACGAGGAGGAGGAAUAUGCGAAGCAAGUGCCCGACGGGUCGAAACGGCAGCCGUCCAGCGAGCCGGCGGCGGCACAGAACGCGCGGCAACGGCGCGCCUACCUAGGUGGUCCUUGGAGCGCCGCAGACAGCACUAGUGUCGACGCGGCGGCUGAAGAGCAACGCCUUGAGCUCGGCAUUCCAGUGCCGGACACCUCCCACCUUAGAGACUCGACCUGCCGCUCGUUCCAUUUCCGCUCCUCCAGCGCGAGUCGGCGUCUUGUGGGCUUUCUGCCUGGAAAAGCUGCGGAUGUCAUGAGUUGCGCCGUGGACAGUGCCAGUGACGGUGAGGAUGACGAUGACGAGGGGCACGUCCCGGUGGUGAGGAGCGGCUCGAACGCGCGGGGCCGCGCGGCUGUCAUUGCGGCUGCAACCCCAACGGCGAUCCACUCGUUCUCCUCGCCGCUGCAGGACACGAUCCCUUCGGUAGGAUGAUCAGCUGUGUGGCAGCAUCGCUUGAACAAGCGUCUGGUGGAUCUGGGCAAGGCCAAGGCAGAUAUGGUAGUGUUGCCGCGAUGCACCGCUUCAAAAGGUGACAGGUGCCGUCAACUGCACGCACACGUAUGACAAGUUGCUUCUUCGUGUGUCUGUGUGUGUGUGUGUUCUCCGCUUCGACGAGAAGCUAUUCUCAGGUCUUGUACAAGGCGACCCUGAUGUGUUGCGGCGACAGCGAUUCGCCAGUACGCGAGGUGCGUGUAUUUGGAGCACGAGUGCACAAGUGCUCCUUGCACUGCUAUUCUUUUUUCUCUCCGAGACGUGAUGUCCUCUACUGUCUGCGCCUGUGAAAGCAUGUGUCUCUCCUCGUACUUC
rnacentral:misc_RNA from 1 species